UACGGAAGGCAGCAGUGGGGAAUAUUGCACAAUGGGCGCAAGCCUGAUGCAGCCAUGCCGCGUGUAUGAAGAAGGCCUUCGGGUUGUAAAGUACUUUCAGUCGUGAGGAAGGUGUUAAGGUUAAUAACCUUAGCAAUUGACGUUAGCGACAGAAGAAGCACCGGCUAACUCCGUGCCAGCAGCCGCGGUAAUACGGAGGGUGCGAGCGUUAAUCGGAAUUACUGGGCGUAAAGGGCACGCAGGCGGUUAAUUAAGUUGGAUGUGAAAUCCCCGGGCUUAACCUGGGAAUGGCAUUCAAGACUGGUUAGCUAGAGUCUUGUAGAGGGGGUAGAAUUCCAUGUGUAGCGGUGAAAUGCGUAGAGAUGUGGAGGAAUACCGGUGGCGAAGGCGGCCCCUGGGACAAAGGACUGACGCUCAUGUGCGAAAGCGUGGGGAGCAAACAGGGAUUAGAU
rnacentral:rRNA from 1 species